UAGGGAAUCUUCGGCAAUGGGGGGAACCCUGACCGAGCAACGCCGCGUGAGUGAAGAAGGUUUUCGGAUCGUAAAGCUCUGUUGUUAAGGAAGAACGAGUGUGAGAAUGGAAAGUUCAUACUGUGACGGUACUUAACCAGAAAGGGACGGCUAACUACGUGCCAGCAGCCGCGGUAAUACGUAGGUCCCGAGCGUUGUCCGGAUUUAUUGGGCGUAAAGCGAGCGCAGGCGGUCAAUUAAGUCUGAUGUGAAAGCCCCCGGCUCAACCGGGGAGGGUCAUUUGAAACUGGUUGACUUGAGUGCAGAAGAGGAGAGUGGAAUUCCAUGUGUAGCGGUAAAAUGCGUAGAUAUAUGGAGGAACACCAGUGGCGAAGGCGACUCUCUGGUCUGUAACUGACGCUGAGGCUCGAAAGCGUGGGUAGCAAACAGG
rnacentral:rRNA from 1 species